CAUACCGAACACAGAAGUUAAGCCUUUUAGCGUCGAAAGUACUUGGUGGGUGACUGCCUGGGAGGAUAGAACGUCGCGCAAU
rnacentral:rRNA from 1 species